rfam:Loxodonta africana unplaced genomic scaffold scaffold_25, whole genome shotgun sequence.
UGGCAAAGCUAGGCUAGGUCUUGCAGGCUGGUGGAAGGCGUUGCGGGGAAGGCAGGAGGCUGAUGGAGAGACUGGGGCAAAGAAAAGCCGAAAUGGAUUCACGGUGUCUUGGAUGGAGGACGAGAAGGGAAUGGCAAGCUCCUUCAGCUCGUUCUGUCCGGUGAGAAGUGAUCAAGCUUGGGCUGACAGGAGGCUCAGGGAACCUUCACGUUCUUUCGCUUUUUUACCUGCCAAUCAAACUGCUACAAGACAACACCCUGAUCUGGCAUGGACGU